CUCAACCUUAGCCUCGCACAGAACCCUAAGUCAGAUGACAGUCAGCCCUGUGCGUGGCCAGGGAGUGACCACUAUGACGGAGAACCAGUCAUCUCACAAUGACCCCACAAGGGCACAGAGGAGAGGACAGGUGGGAGGUCAGUGCAGGCCUGUUCCACAAGGUGCCUCAACUCAUUGUACACGUCUUUCCAAGGAUAGAAGAGAGCUUUAGAGGAACAUCCCAAGAAGCCGCUGUUGAAUUAUCAUCCCCAAGUGUGGCCAAAUUAUACAGUAUGAGAAAGUCAAAACUUUCAAAGAGCUGACAUAGGACACAGAGCAAGAAGGCUGUGGGGCAGAAAGAACAUGAAAUUUCCUUAGGACACCAAAGAAUGGCAUGCAGGUAAGCUCUAAGCAGCCCAGAGGCAUAGGCUGCUCUGCACACAUUCUAGAUCUGGCUGGUCCAGUACAGUAGCCAUCAACCAUAUGUGAUUGUGGAGCAUCUGCAACAUUUGUAGUGUGAAUUAAAACGUGCUG
rnacentral:lncRNA from 1 species